GUCAAACAUUUGCGGCUACGGCUAAUCUAUCAGUAGAUCAUGCUAUUAAUAAGAUGCAGCUGCGAGAUGAUACUGAAGGUAUCCAUAGGCAUGAUAUCCACCUUCCCAACCGGCGUAUUCGGCAGUGGUUCAGUGUGUUUUAUUUGUUUUUUGAUUUGUACUUAUAACAUGAUGCAGACGACACAGCUUCCGAACUGCUUGAAACUGUUUUUCUAAAUAAUGAAUGCAAAAAAUACGCUGAGGAAGCAAGGGAGCAGUACAAUGCAAGGAGGCGUGCAGCUUAUCGGAAGAAUAAUAAUGAGGAUAUUGUCAGCUUACAAGAUGAGAAUCAGCCGGUACUUGCAAAAUCAGGUGAGGUUGAUGGCUGAUCUUAGUUUGAUGUGCAUACGUAUAGUAUGCACAUGAUUCGUUGUAUUAAUCUAUAUCCCUGAUUAUAGGUGAUAUGAUGCUCAUACUAUGUUGCUUAUUAGAUCAUAGGGAUCUUAUCAACGCUCGUAGGCUGGUGGCUUAUCGCAAUAACAAGUCAGAUGGUUCGGCUAACCAACAAGUCAAUGGGAAGUCAUCCCGUCGCCAGUCUCUAUGUGAUAUCACAAAUGUUCUCGAAGAUAGGGAGAUAAAUAAACCCACAUGAGAUUAUCAUGGUUGGUAAAUUGAUCCACGUCCCAUAUGCACUGUGUUUGCACGAAGGUAGUCACUUAUUACGCAAUUUAAAUAAGUACUGACCAAUCUUGUUGAAUCAUAUAAUUCAGCUAGCUCAACAUUUCCUGCUACAAGUACGGUCACAUCUGGUCUCAUUAAUGAAAAUGAAAUACAAGAUGCAAAUGUAAUCAUGUAUGACACCCAAGAAACAGAGCAUAAAACGGAAGAAGAACGCAAGAGAGACCAUAGAAAUGCCCUGAGGAGGGCUUCCUAUCGGCGGAAGAAACAAUAUAAUGUUCAAGUUGAACAUGCACAGACCAUUCAUUUAUCAAGUAAGCUUAUAAUGAUUUAACCAUUAUGGUCAGAACCGUCUUAAUAAUUAAGCAUUAAUUUGUGUGGACAACUUUGGUUCACCAGGCAACCCCACUAGCUCUAACUAUACAUCAUUCUCGCGUGAUGCGCGGACAUUUCCUGAUACAACUACGAUCUCAUGUGGGAUCGUUAAUGACAACGAGCUACAAGAUGUGAUUUUGAAUGACACACAAGAAACAGAGGAAAAAACAGAAGAAGAACGCAAGAGAGACCAUAGAAACGCCCUGCGGCGAGCUGCUUAUUGGAGGAACAAGGAUAAGCAUAUCAAAGAUCAAAACAAACGUCCAUCUGGUACUUCAGACGACCUGAAUAGCCCUAGCGUUACAGAAUUAAUGAAAGAGGGAGCAACAUGUCCCCCUUCAACUUUACACGCGUCUGUCAUUCAAGAGACUAUUCUAGCUAGGAGGCAAAGUGACAAUGAGCGGAAACGUAAUUCAACAAACGAGCAAAGGGAGGCGAAAAACGCAAGUAGCAGAGCAUGCCAUCAGAAGAAAAGUGACGAAUUAACGGUGGAGGUUAGAGAAACAAAGAAUGAAAAAAUACGCGUGACUCGCGUGCAGCGCCGCAAAAGCAUGUCGGUGAUUGAGAAGGGGGAGUCAAGUGCACAGAGGAAGGCCAAUUAUGAAAGAAGGAAAAAAAAC